UUAACUUAAGUUUGUAUGAAGUCGAAACGGUUUUCCUUCGUUUGCCGCUAGGGGCGCUGUUCCAACUCCAUACAAAUUUGAGUUA
rfam:Bombyx mori DNA, contig: Bm_scaf168_contig40829, strain: p50T/Dazao, build 2, whole genome shotgun sequence.